rnacentral:rRNA from 1 species
CAUAUCAAUAAGCGGAGGAAAAGAAACCAACAGGGAUUGCCUUAGUAGCGGCGAGUGAAGCGGCAAGAGCUCAAAUUUGAAAUCUGGUACCUUCGGUGCCCGAGUUGUAAUUUGAAGAAAGCUAUCUUGGAGGUGGCCUUUGUCUAUGUUCCUUGGAACAGGACGUCAUGGAGGGUGAGAAUCCCGUGUGAUGAGGUGUCCAUUUCCGUGUAAGAUGCUUUCGAAGAGUCGAGUUGUUUGGGAAUGCAGCUCAAAGUGGGUGGUAAAUUCCAUCUAAAGCUAAAUAUUGGCGAGAGACCGAUAGCGAACAAGUACUGUGAAGGAAAGAUGAAAAGAACUUUGAAAAGAGAGUGAAAAAGUACGUGAAAUUGUUGAAAGGGAAGGGUAUUUGAUCAGACUUGGUAUUUAGCUAUCAUCGCUCCUUGUGGGUGGUGCUCUAGCUUUUUACUGGGCCAGCAUCAGUUUUGGUGGCAAGAUAAUGACAGUUGAAUGUGGCUCCUCGGAGUGUUAUAGCUUCUGUUGAUGUUGCCUACCGAGACUGAGGUCUGCGGCUUUUGCCUAGGAUGCUGGCGUAAUGAUCCAAUACCGCCCGUCUUGAA